AGUUGAUUCUGCUCAGAUUGAACGCUGGCGGGAUGCUUUACACACAAGUCGAACGGCAGCACGGACUUCGGUCUGGUGGCGAGGCGAACGGGUGAGUAAUGUAUCGGAACGUGCCUAGUAGCGGGGGAUAACUACGCGAAAGCGUAGCUAAUACCGCAUACGCCCUUCGGGGGAAAGCGGGGACCUUCGGGCCUCGCACUAUUAGAGCGGCCGAUAUCGGAUUAGCUAGUUGGUGGGGUAACGGCUCAUCAAGGCGACGAUCCGUAGCUGGUUUGAGAGGACGACCAGCCACACUGGGACUGGAGACAUGGCCCAGACUCCUACGGAGGCAGCAGUGGGGAAUUUUGGACAAUGGGGGAAACCCUGAUCCAGCCAUCCCGCGUGUGCGAUGAAGGCCUUCGGUUGUAAAGCACUUUCGGCAGGAGGAAACAGCACGGGAUAAUACCCCGUGCAACUGACGGUAACGGGUAGAAUAGCCACCGCUAACUACGUGCCAGCAGCCACGGUAAUAUUGCGUAGGGUGCAAGCGUUAAUCGGAAUUACUGGGCGUAAAGCGUGCGCAGGCGGUUCGAAAAAAGAAAGAUGUGAAAUCCCCAGAGUUUAACUUUGGAACUGCAUUUUUAACUACCGAGCUAGAGCGUGUCAGAGGGAGGUGGAAUCUGUGUGUAGUAGUGAAAUGCGUAGAUAUGGAGGAACACCGAUGGCGAAGGCAGCCUCUGGGAUACUGACGCUCAUGCACGAAAGCGUGGGGAGCAAACAGGAUUAGAUACCCUGGUAGUCCACGCCCUAAACGAUGUCAACUAGCUGUUGGGGCCUUUCGCCUUAGAAGGCAGUUAACGCGUGAAGUUGACCGCCUGGGGAGUACGGGUCAAGAUUAAAACUCAGCGAUGACGGGGACCCGCACAAGCGGUGGAUGAUGUGGAUUAAUUCGAUGCAACGCGAAAACCUUACCUACCCUUGACAUGUCUGGAAUCCCGAAGAGAUUUGGGAGUGCUCGCAAGAGAACCGGAACACAGGUGCUGCAUGGCUGUCGUCAGCUCGUGUCGUGAGAUGUUGUUGUCCCGCAACGAGCGCAACCUUGUCAUUAGUUGCUACGAAAGGGCACUCUACCGAGACUGCCGGUGACAAACCGGAGGAAGGUGGGGAUGACGUCAGUCCUCAUGGCCCUUAUGGUAGGGCUUCACACGUCAUACAAUGGUCGGGACAGAGGGUCGCCAACCCGCGAGGGGGAGCCAAUCCCAGAAACCCGAUCGUAGUCCGGAUCGCAGUUCGCAACUCGACUGCGUGAAGUCGGAAUCAAGCAAGUAAUCGCGGAUCAGCAUGUCGCGGUGAAUACGUUCCCGGGUCUUGUACACACCGCCCGUCACACCAUGGGAGUGGGUUUUACCAGAAGUAGUUAGCCUAACCGUAAGGAGGCGAUACACGUAGGAUUCAUGACUGGGGGUGAAGUCGUAACAAGGUAA
rnacentral:rRNA from 1 species